GGCUACCGAGAUAAUUCAGCAUAUUCUCAUGUUACUCUUAGUCAAUUUGAAAGCUUCUCUGAGCAUUUAGAUUCAUUCUUGCAAAUGUUAUCUAUUGUUCAACUACUAAUGUGUUUUCCUUGAUAGAUCCUACUGCAUAAAUAGACUAGAUUGUACUUAGUCGAUCUGAAGGUCGAGGGUGGUAGGGGUUGACUGACUUCUUAACUUAAAAGAAGCGGGGGGAAGGGCUGAAGACAGAAGGCACAAGUCUAUUUUUUGCUUUUUGAGCUUGCUUUGCUUGAUCUUCUGCUUCUCUGUUGUUGCGUCUAUAUUUUUCUACUUAUUUAAUUCAUUAUUUGCUGCCUUUUGCAGCUUUAUAAUUAAUCUGUUACAUAUAUUAUAUUUUUGUGUGUUAUUAUACUGUGCCUGAUAUUUUUCAGCAUUUUUUAAUCCACUCUUUGGUACCUUGCAGCUUUAUAAUUAAGGCAUACGUAGUUUCCUAUUUUUCUUCGUCUCAUAUGCCGUGUACAAAUAUGUGCUAUAUUAGUGUUUCUUUGAUAUAUAAACCUCAUUUAUUGUUAACUCUUGGCAUAUUAAUAUCGGUUAAUGUUUUUACAAUCUCUUUCCCAAGUACUUAUGAGACACAUUUCCUUUUACUUUGGCAUUCGGUUUGCUGUGUUGCCACUACUGUGGCAGGCUGACUGAUCUUUCUCAUGAUUUUAAUAUUUUUGCAAUGCCGGAUUUAAUGACAAUGUAUGGAAUCUAGACUACUCUGAUCUCUAUAUAUUUGAUGGCAUGAUUUUUUCCGUUGAAGUGAUCUGUUUGGUCAAGUUCCUCAACAAUUUAUUUUGACCUAACAUCUCUUAUAUGCCAGCUAGGUAGUUUUAUACAUAGUCUACUGUGUAGUCACUCAGUGGUGCUUUGCUGUCAAUACAAUCUGCCUCGUCGGAUUUACCACGGUCUUCUAGAUCAACCUCAGAGUAGUGGGGCAAUGGAGGCGUUCUGAUUCUGGUUCAGGCCGUCAUGAACUUAAAGUUAUCGGGCUCAGACAAUAUUUCCUCAUACAUGGCUGCUAUCUCCCGCCUAAAAUCUAAAGCUUUAUCUAUUCUUUUGAAACUCUGUGAAGCUGAAAGUGUAUCAUACCUAGAUGAGGUGGCUAGCAACACAACAACUCAUAAUAUGACAAAGUUGGACUCGAGGUUCUUGCAUUGCUGGUAAAAGCUUGGUAUAGAUUCAAGACAGUUAUAUGCUCCCUCCGAGG